UACAGAGGGGGCAAGCGUUGUUCGGAAUUACUGGGCGUAAAGGGCGCGUAGGCGGCCCGCUAAGUCGAACGUGAAAUCCCCGGGCUCAACCCGGGAACUGCGUCCGAUACUGGUGGGCUCGAAUCCGGGAGAGGGAUGCGGAAUUCCAGGUGUAGCGGUGAAAUGCGUAGAUAUCUGGAGGAACACCGGUGGCGAAGGCGGCAUCCUGGACCGGUAUUGACGCUGAGGCGCGAAAGCCAGGGGAGCGAACAGG
rnacentral:rRNA from 1 species